rnacentral:misc_RNA from 1 species
GGAAGAACGCGGCGGUGAAGCUCGAGUUUGAAGAUGCUUUAGAUGAAGCAUACGGUCCACUCAGCAAGCGAUCUAAACUUUCUUCUUCUUCUCUACAACAGCAAUUGGUUGUAGAAGCUGAUGGUUUUCCAGUACCGCCUUCGCAGUAUAACCCGCUUGAUGAGCCCAGUCCGUUAGGUUUGAGGCUAAGGAAGAGUCCAUCACUGUUGGAUUUGAUCCAGAUGAAGCUUUCUCAGGGGAACAACGCCAAGGUGGGAAAUCAAGGGAAGAAGGAGCAGAAGGGGAACUCUGGAACAAUUGAGAAACUUAAGGCUUCGAACUUUCCUGCCACAGUUCUAAGAAUUGGGAGCUGGGAGUACAAGUCAAGAUAUGAAGGGGAUCUAGUGGCAAAAUGUUACUUUGCGAAGCAUAAACUUGUUUGGGAAGUCCUUGACGGUGGUCUCAAGAAUAAG